GAAUAUUUUCUCCCUCUUCUUUCAGUUUUCUCUCUCCUCUUGUAAAUCCUCUGCUGUGCUUCUUCAUGUUCAUCAACUUCGUUGAUUUUCCUUGCAAAUCCCUUUUGCUUCUUUGCGAUCCUCUUCCAAUUGUUCAGUGGAAGUACAGGGGUUGAUGGAACCCAAUACUCUUCCUUUGGUGUUCCUUGAGGGGGAACUUUUGCAUUAGCUCGUGUCUUGAACGUACCAUGUUUCCUAGCUGCUGUUGCUGAUAUGUUCUUUCUCCUUGGAAUUAAGACCAAAGAAGUAUUUGAAGGUGGUGAUUUCCAGUACAACCAAUUUGAGAUUGAUCUGAUGGUUUGUAUUGCUGAUAUCCUCGUGUCUCUUUGGAGUUCGGAGUACUGAAAAUGGAGUGUAACUGCAACAUUAGACAAUUUUUUCAACAAACCAAGCAUAAGAUUCAGGGUGAUAGAUCAGACAUUCAAUAUGCAGCCGAGUUAGAUCAAAGACUUUCAAGUGAAAUUCAGCAAUCUGCAGGAAGUGCAGCUUGUUAACAACCCAUUAUUUGGACUAUUCAACUCAGAUAUCUACUGCUUCUUUAAGCAUUGCAGCUGUCCUUCUUCACAGAAGAUUUCCAUAGAACUUUCAACCGUGUCUGAGGAGAACUUCAUCUGGGAACACCGAAAGCCAAAUAUCACGCAUGUUGAAUGUGCUUUUAACAAUUUGAGGACUGUCACAUUGUGCAACUUCGGAGGAACUAGUUCAGAUAUUGAACUUGCAGCAUAUUUCUUGCAAAGAGCACCAAUUUUGGAAUUAAUGCAACUUUUUUGAAUGUUAAGUAAUCUGAGAUUUCAAAUUUUUUUGCUCAUUUAGACAUAAUGAGCAAAUUUUUGGAUAUAAACAAACCCGAACUUUAAAAAAUGAGCAAAAAUAUUUGCUCAUUUUUAUAACCUAUAAAAAAUGAGCACAUUUUUUGAAUGUUAAG